rnacentral:rRNA from 1 species
UACGUAGGGGGCAAGCGUUGUUCGGAAUUACUGGGCGUAAAGGGCGCGUAGGCGGCAUGGCAAGUCAGGAGUGAAAGGCCUGGGCUCAACCGAGGAACUGCUUUUGAUACUGCCAAGCUAGAGUGCGGAAGGGGCAACUGGAAUUCCCAGUGUAGCGGUGAAAUGCGUAGAUAUUGGGAAGAACACCGGUGGCGAAGGCGGCUCUCUGGACCGAGACUGACGCUGAGGCGCGAAAGCGUGGGGAGCAAACAGG